rnacentral:rRNA from 1 species
UACAGAGGGCUCAAGCGUUGUUCGGAUUCAUUGGGCGUAAAGGGUGCGUAGGCGGCUUGGUGGGUCUGGUGUGAAAGCCCCGGGCUCAGCCCGGGAAGGGCACUAGAAACUGCCGAGCUGGAGUGCCGGAGGGGAGAGUGGAAUUCCUGGUGUAGCGGUGAAAUGCGUAGAUAUCAGGAGGAAUACCGGUGGCGAAAGCGACUCUCUGGACGGCAACUGACGCUGAGGCACGAAAGCGUGGGGAGCAAACAGG